AGAAUUUCAAGAGUAUCUUUUCUUACUCAUGUUACUUCCCUGUAAGCCCCGCCCCCAGCCCCCACCCCAACUCCGUGCCUCCAUCACUCUGAAAUGGUAACAUAGAGAUAUGAAUCAUGGACAACACAGUUCCUUUCAUUUCGGAUCUUCAAUACUGCCAUUGCGUUAAUUGGGGGCCUUUCGAGUUAGACAAGUGACUCAAGCUGACUGUGACAGCUCACACAAUGCAAAGCCAUAGGAGGAACACACUAGGGACUGGAGAGAUGGCCUAGCGGCAAGAGCACUUACCGUUCUUGAAGAAAACCUGGUGCGGUUCCCAGCACACAAGACGGCUCACACCCAUCUGCACCUCCAGGGUCAGAGAGUCCCAUGCUAUCUUUGACCUCUGCUCUCACCGCACACACAUGGCACACCUACGUACACUCAGGCACAGGAGUAUAUGCAUUAGAUAAAUUAAUUUUAAAAAUACCCGAUUUUAUUUCUCCAUGUUGUCCCUGCCAUCUGAUAUGAACCUCUUCCAAGAAGAUCACAUAUUUUUCACAAAUUAAAUAAUAUAACCACA